AUGAUGGGCAUAGCCAAAGAGAGAAGUGGACAUUGUUGAUGCACUCAAUUCACAUUCUGAAUAGGUAGUGUAGAUGGUACCAGUUGCUAAUGUCCCUGGUUUUGUUUAUGCUUUAAACAAACUCAGUGGAUUAAAAAACUGUUUUGAGCCACUCACUCAUAAAACAUCAUAAGUGACUUGUACAAUUUCUUGGCUGGGAUAGAAACCAAGAAACAAUAGCAAUCAAAAUGUACUUGCAAGCAGUACACAGAUUUAAGACACUGAAUAUGAUGGGCAUAGCCAAAGAGAAAAGUGGACAUUGUUGAUGCACCCAAGUCACAUUCUGAAUAGUAGUAAUGUGACUUAUACUAAAUCUUGGCUG